ACAACUGACGGGAACAGGCGAACAAACUGGGCAGGAUAAACAGAAACAGGUUAAUCAAAAACAGACUUAAGGUGUCAGGGCUCUUACCGAGGCAGAGUGCAGACAACGAGGACCAGAGCAUGGGCAUGUAAAUAUGACGACCCGACAACUAACUGAGGAGGGAGUGAGGCUUAAAUAGACGGAUAACAGGUGAGCGGAAUUGAAACUAAUUAACCAGAGGUGGAAGCAAUACAGAACUGACAGGAGCUGGGGGG